UAACUAUUACUUUGUAGCCACUUUGAGUUACGAUAAUUACUAUAUUAAUUUACAAGAUUAUACUAACUCUUUACUAAGUGGUUUACUAUAACAUUACGGUAAAUAUCCCCAUGUGUUAUAGUAACCCAACUAUUGUAAAUAUGUAUACAUAUUAUCGUAAAUUAGUAUAUAAAAUUAUCGUAAAUGGAGGUGGCUACAGAAUAACAUAUUUUGUAGCUA
rnacentral:pre_miRNA from 1 species